rnacentral:rRNA from 1 species
AGUGAACGCUGGCGGUAGGCCUAACACAUGCAAGUCGAACGGCAGCACAGUAAGAGCUUGCUCUUACGGGUGGCGAGUGGCGGACGGGUGAGGAAUACAUCGGAAUCUACUUUUUCGUGGGGGAUAACGUAGGGAAACUUACGCUAAUACCGCAUACGACCUCCGGGUGAAAGCAGGGGAUCUUCGGACCUUGCGCGAUUGAAUGAGCCGAUGUCGGAUUAGCUAGUUGGCGGGGUAAAGGCCCACCAAGGCGACGAUCCGUAGCUGGUCUGAGAGGAUGAUCAGCCACACUGGAACUGAGACACGGUCCAGACUCCUACGGGAGGCAGCAGUGGGGAAUAUUGGACAAAGGGCGCAAGCCUGAUCCAGCCAUACCGCGUGGGUGAAGAAGGCCUUCGGGUUGUAAAGCCCUUUUGUUGGGAAAGAAAAGCAGCAGGUUAAUACCCCGCUGUUCUGACGGUACCCAAAGAAUAAGCACCGGCUAACUUCGUG